AAAGAUUGAUGAGAUGACAUUACAAGAAGAUGAACCAAAGCUAAUUGGAAAUGCAUCAACAAGCCAAGAAGCAAUUGUGGAUCAUGGGCUGACUAAGGCUUGGAGGUAUGCUCAUGGGCAUCCUAAGGAAUUAAUUUUAGAUGAUCCAUCUCAACCUGUUAGAACUAGAGCAUCUCUUAGGAACUUAAAUAAUCAUCUAGCAUUUGUCUCACACUUUGAACCUAAAA
rnacentral:lncRNA from 1 species